GACGUAACAUGACUAGUCCGACAAGGUUACUUGUCGUGAGCUUUUCACGUUUGUCAUCCUUCUGGAAACUGAAAUUGGCCUUUACUGUGUUGAUUUCAAGCUCCAGAUCUUUUACUUUGAAGAAAUUAGAGUGUUUAAAGCAGGCUUUUGCUAUGAAUACAUUAGCAUGGAAUAAUAAUUUAGGACUUCGGUUCUAUUUUGUUGGUUUCUAGGACUGAAGUA
rnacentral:rRNA from 1 species